rnacentral:rRNA from 1 species
CCUACGGGAGGCAGCAGUGGGGAAUAUUGCACAAUGGGGGAAACCCUGAUGCAGCGACGCCGCGUGAGCGAUGAAGUAUUUCGGUAUGUAAAGCUCUAUCAGCCGGGAAGAAAAUGACGGCACCUGACUAAGAAGCCCCGGUUAACUACGUGCCAGCAUCCGCGGAAACCCGGAGGGCGCAAGCGGUAUCCGGAUUUAAGGGGUGUAAAGGGAGCGUAGACGGGACUGAAAGCCAGAUGUGAAAGUCUGGGGCUCAACCCCGGGACGGCCUUUGAAACUGGGAGGCUAGAGUGUCGGAGAGGCAGGCGGAAUGCCUGGUGUAGCGGUGAAAUGCGUAGAUAUUAGGAAGAACACCAGUGGCGAAGGCGGCCUGCUGGAGGAUGACUGACGUUGAGGCUCGAAAGCGUGGGGAGCAAACAGGAUUAGAUACCCUGGUAGUC